rnacentral:rRNA from 1 species
UACGGGGGGAGCAAGCGUUGUUCGGAUUUACUGGGCGUAAAGGGCGCGUAGGCGGCCACCGCAAGUCGACUGUGAAAUCUCCGGGCUUAACCCGGAAAGGUCAGCCGAUACUGCGGGGCUAGAGUGCAGAAGGGGCAACUGGAAUUCUCGGUGUAGCGGUGAAAUGCGCAGAUAUCGGGAGGAACACCAGUAGCGAAGGCGGCUCGCUGGGCCAUUCCUGACGCUGAGACGCGAAAGCUAGGGGAGCGAACAGG